CUCCCUACGGGAGGCAGCAGUAGGGAAUUUUCGUCAAUGGGCGCAAGCCUGAACGAGCAAUGCCGCGUGAACGAGGAAGGUCUUCGGAUCGUAAAGUUCUGUUGAAGGGGAAAAAGAGCGGAGAGAGGAAAUGCUUUCUGAUUGAUAUUACCCUUCGAGGAAGUCACGGCUAACUACGUGCCAGCAGCCGCGGUAAUACGUAGGAUGCGAGCGUUAUCCGGAUUUAUUGGGUUUAAAGGGUGCGUAGGCGGAAUGCCAAGUCAGCGGAAAAAUCGCGGGGCUCAACCACGCUCCGCCGUUGAAAC
rnacentral:rRNA from 1 species